AAUCCUUAUCUCACAUGGAGAGACGUGCAACAUUUGAUAGUCCUUACAUCAUCAAGGAAAGGAUUUAAUGACACAUAUUCUGACUGGUCAGUAAACGGAGCAAACAAGGAAUUUAGCCAAGUCCUCGGGUAUGGUCUAAUGGAUGCCAAAGCCAUGGUCAAUAAAGCUAAAACAUGGGUUACUGUUCCAGUACAACACAGCUUUACAACGCUUACUAGGUUUCCGUUUAUUUCUACUAGUUUGUGGUCGUCAGACACAAUGCACUUUUC